rnacentral:rRNA from 1 species
UACGUAGGUGGCAAGCGUUGUCCGGAAUUACUGGGUGUAAAGCGCGUGUAGGCGGCAGACCAAGUCGGCGGUGAAAGCGCCCGGCUCAACUGGGCGAGGUCCGUGGAAACUGGUCAGCUGGAGGACGGUAGAGGCGAGUGGAAUUCCCGGUGUAGUGGUGAAAUGCGUAGAGAUCGGGAGGAACACCUGUGGCGAAGGCAGCUCGCUGGGACGUUACUGACACUGAGGCGCGAAAGCGUGGGGAGCGAACAGG